CUAGAGAUAGAAAGUUACUUCGGUACAUCGGUGACAGGUGGUGCAUGGUUGUCGUCAGCUCGUGUCGUGAGAUGUUGGGUUAAGUCCCGCAACGAGCGCAACCCCUAUUGUUAGUUGCCAUCAUUCAGUUGGGCACUCUAGCGAGACUGCCGGUAAUAAACCGGAGGAAGGUGGGGAUGACGUCAAAUCAUCAUGCCCCUUAUGACCUGGGCUACACACGUGCUACAAUGGUUGGUACAACGAGUUGCGAGUCGGUGACGGCGAGCUAAUCUCUUAAAGCCAAUCUCAGUUCGGAUUGUAGGCUGCAACUCGCCUACAUGAAGUCGGAAUCGCUAGUAAUCGCGGAUCAGCACGCCGCGGUGAAUACGUUCCCGGGCCUU
rnacentral:rRNA from 1 species